rnacentral:sRNA from 1 species
UUGCUAUCUGCGAUAUGGAAGAUUCGAACCUGCCGCAGGUUCGGGUCGAACGCAGUGAGACAACGGAGCCGUUUACGGCGACGGCCCGAAGGGCGAGCGAAGCGAGUCAUCCUGCACAACCCACCA